rnacentral:rRNA from 1 species
UACGGAAGGUCCGGGCGUUAAUCGGAAUUACUGGGCGUAAAGCGCUCGUAGGUAGUAUAUCAAGUCAAGGGUGAAAUCCCCGCGCUCAACGUGGGAACUGCCUUUGAAACUGGUACACUUGAGUGUGUGAGAGGAUAGUGGAAUUCCAGGUGUAGGAGUGAAAUCCGUAGAUAUCUGGAGGAACAUCAGUGGCGAAGGCGACUAUCUGGCACAUAACUGACACUGAGGAGCGAAAGCGUGGGUAGCAAACAGG